GAGUUUGAUCCUGGCUCAGAUUGAACGCUGGCGGCAUGCCUUACACAUGCAAGUCGAACGGUAACGGGUCCUUCGGGAUGCCGACGAGUGGCGAACGGGUGAGUAAUAUAUCGGAACGUGCCCAGUAGUGGGGAGUAACUGCUCGAAAGAGCAGCUAAUACCGCAUACGACCUGAGGGUGAAAGGGGGGGAGUCGCAAGACCUCUCGCUAUUGGAGCGGCCGAUAUCAGAUUAGCUAGUUGGUGGGGUAAAGGCCUACCAAGGCAACGAUCUGUAGUUGGUCUGAGAGGACGACCAGCCACACUAGGACUGAGACACGGCCCAGACUCCUACGGGAGGCAGCAGUGGGGAAUUUUGGACAAUGGGCGCAAGCCUGAUCCAGCAAUGCCGCGUGCAGGAAGAAGGCCUUCGGUUGUAACUGCUUUG
rnacentral:rRNA from 1 species